rnacentral:lncRNA from 1 species
UCUCUCCAUCCCAUUUUAAUAGACGUUUUAGGAGGGGGGUUUUUUCCCAAAAUAUUUGACGCUCUACAAUCCCAAGAAUAUUUUGCCAUUUAUUUUCUUUCUCUACCCUUCCUUCCCUACCAUUAUUAAUGCUUAUUGAGAACAGUUCCUGUUAGGAUGAUAUAAAAAAAACAAGGAAUAAACUCUUUUUUCCUCUACAGGAUUCACUUUAAUGGGAAUGAUCUGAGAAUCCAUCUUCGGCAACGGCGAUCGGACUGGUAAUUUCCUCCAAACCCAUGAAGAAAUCAUCACUCAGAGCGAGAGAGAAGAUCUGAACGGUCAGAUCCGGGCAAAUCGCAACUGAGUCACUCAUCACUCAGAGGUAGAUCCGGCCGAUGAUCUUCCCGGUCAUUAUUUCAGAUCUGGCGGGUGAAGGGUGAUCCGACCGAUGAUCUUCAAUGGAGUAGAUCUUAAUUCUGGAGAGAGAGAGAGAGGGGGAGAGAGAAGAUGAAGGCUUACAAUGGAGAUAUUACGGAAUUUGGUUUUUAGUCGGUGAAUGGGAGAGAGAGAAGAUGAAGGCUUGCAAUGUUGUUUAAUUAAAAUUAAUUGGCAAUGGGAAUUAGAAGCAUUAAUGGGAUGAUAUAUUAAUUAAGGGUAAAAUAGUAAAAUUGUAUUUAUUCUUAAUUUACAUGAAAAUUUGUAGAACUUCUAUUAAAAUGGGAU